CCGCUCGCCUCUGUCGCUCUCCUCCGCCACUCGCCGCCUCUGCCACUCGCCUCCGCCACUUGCCGCCGCGGCUAGCCUCCGAGUCGCCUCCGCCGCCCGCCUCUGGCUCUGAGGCUCGCCUCCGUCGCUCCCUCGAAGGUCGACGAGCUCUGUCACCCACCUCCUUGGCUCUCCUCCGCGGCUCGCCUCCGAGUUGCCUCCGCCGCCCGCCUCUGAGGCUCGCCUCCGCCGCUCCCUCGAAGGUCGACGAGUUUCGUCGACCACACCCACGAGCUCCAGCUCCUCGUCCUCCAGAAGACCCACAACCUCAACCGCUUGUUAGUUUUGUUUUUCAGAUUCCGAUCGGUGGGACGAGGAUUCCGAUCCAGUAGAGAUCCGUGCGUUUCCAUGUCUCUCUGUGCAGGCCCCGCUGGAGCUCGAGAUCUUUACAGAAAUCAAAUGAGAUGGAACUUAAGGCUUCGUGGGAUCAGUACAUGGAUGCAAAUGAUCGGUGGAAAAAUAGCGAUGCUCAGAUUCAGGGCAUUUGAACUUCUAUCCUAUGCAGAGUGGCCUUUUGAAGCGCAUCAAAGAGAAGGAAGAUGAGCAUGACUCAUUCGAACUUCAAAUAUCUAAUGUUGAUCUAUCUCAUAUAGAUGAGAGGGAGCAGAGCAUGUGAAUUGAGGUUGAGAGGAAAACAAACCAGCUUGCUGGAAGAGAAUUUGAAUCUAACAUACGGCAGAAGCAGAGUGAGAUUUACAACAAUGAGCAAAAAAUUGAGGCCUUUCCUCACGAGGGCGACCGGUUCUUGCUGCCAGCGCUUCGUUUGAGCAAGAGGGUGGCGAGUCUGUCGAUUCUUGCGGUCCUGCUAAAUGGGUGUGGCCCAAGCGCCUCGGUGGCGACGUUGCGACAAGAAGUGGAGCUGGAGAGGUACACAGACUCUUCACUCUCCUCAAACCUUCUUCUUGGGGCAAUCGAUUAUUUGGUAGAUAAUUUGGUUUUUGGUAGAGUUGCUGAGAAUUGUGUCUUAUUGAGGGGAAACAUUGAAGUGAAGUAUCUUUCUGCAGUGCUGAAGAAUUAUUCCUUCGUAUGCAUGGUGACAGUAUGAAUUUCUUACUCAAAAGGCUGGAAAUGUUAGCUUCAUAUCUUAAUCAAGAUGAUGAACUCAUUUGUGAGUAAAUAAUUUGACCUCAAUAGUAUGCUCACUUUAAAUAAGAGAAGCAUGUGCAUAGUCUAAAUCUUCAUAAAUAGAAGAAGAAAGCUGUCUGCACGGCAUGUGCUGCAAGAUUAUCCUCAAAAUCUAGUAACAGGACGGGCCACUUAAAGAGGCACCAACACAGAUACAUCUCUGAAAUGGCCAAACCGGGGGUAGGUGUUUGCUGUGAUGAUAAGAUGUAUGUCUGAUCAGUUUGGUAUCUUCAAUUUUUAGGUUGUACUUUUUCUAUGAGAUGCAUUUGUCUAAAUCUGAGUUUCAUGUAUUUUCAUUUCAACAAUUGAAAUUUGUGGGGUGUGAUUUGAUUUUAUAAUAAGAAACAUUCUUUUUUUUGUCUAA